GCCCUACAUGGGGCUCGAUCCCAGGAGCCAUGAGAUCAUGACCUGAGCCGAAAUCCAGAGUGAGGCGCUUAACCAACUGAGCCACCCCGGUGCCCCGAGAAGACUCUAUUUUAAAUGAAGACUGAAGAGUGACUAAUAUAUAACCACUGAAUGAUGUUGCCUCUCACAACUAAAGUGACGAUAACUGGGCACACAAAAAUCAUGAGGCCUGCUGAGUUUUCAUCCUGUAGCAGAAGAAAAGCUUUCCCCACUGAAUAAAGUUUAAAAGGUAGUGGGAAACCAAAAAAAAAAAAAAAAAAAAAAAGUUUAUCUAGUCACGAACCAUGCCUGUUCAUCAUACAGGUGCAGUCAGUGAGCGGUGCCCCAGCAGAUCCCAGCCCUGGGUCUGCCCCUCCACAGCUGGAAUGGGGCCAUGGUCCCACAGUCCGAAGGCCAUGGUGUGGAGCAGGGCAGAGAGCUAAGUGUGGUGCAGGUUGUUUGUCUUAUUGACCUUGCUUUGCUUAGGGGGAAAGAGGCUCACUAGGAAGUUCACUCACAUCCUGGGGAAGGCUUCCAAGGUGGAAAGGAUUUUCAUUUGUCUGCAAGGCCUCACAUCCAGCAGAUAGAGAAACUAUCCCCAAUGCUGUGGACCUUUUCCCCUGUCCUGGAGGUGUCCUCUGUCUCUUUCUGCCUUGAGUCUUGGGUCUAGAAAUCACUGCACUCAUCUCUCACAGAUAGGUCAUUGGGUAUCUGCACCUAAAGAUCUUAAUAGUGCCUAGAUGCCUGGGCUGCUCUGUGGAAGGCUCUAGUUGUGGAGUCAAACAGACUGGGAGUAGCUAGUAGUAAGGAAAUGCCACAUACAUUGGUAAGAUAUGACCCUGAACUGCUAUGUCCAGUCAUGAGAGCAGACUCUCUUGUUGGCGAGAGAGCAGCUUGGAGCUGGAGCCCAACCUCUCCCCAGUCUCUCCUCAGCUACCCCUGCCUCCCACUCACUGCUCCCCCUUGACGCCCUGUGUCAAGUGUGGAUACAUCACCUUUCUCUCAUGAUCUGGACAGCUGAGAUAUGACUCACCUUUUUAAAUAAGUUUUACCAAAAGCUUAGGACAUACAAAUGAGAAAUGAACACAAAGAGGAAUAUGGAGGCAGCAAUCUGGCUCACAAGGCAGGGCUUACUUUGUGACUCUUUCCAGAGGUUGGUCUCUGACCCGAGGCCUCCCAGCUCCAUAGGGUAGAUACCACCUUAGCCACCCCAAGGUCAGGACAAUGAGGCUUGUGGAAAAAAGUGGAUUCCUCACUCCUGCCUGCCUAGGGCCUCAUUUAAUAAUUCAUUUUCCUGAGUGAAGAACUUUUCACUCCAGAAGAGGGGAUUAGCCCUGGGAAUGACCUCACCUCAAGGAAGUGUGUAUGUUUCAAUUCAUAAUGUUCACAUUAUGUUUCAAUACCAUAACCCCAAGAUUCAUAUAGUAGAGAUUUCUAUAAACACAACAGUAAAGCAUUGAUCUAGAUUUUGUUUAACUCUUGAGUAACCAAUAAAAUCUUCUAGGAUGCCUCCAGUCAUUGGUACCAUUCACCAAAUGUUUGUACUUCAUCUCCUGGCCAUAUUGUAUGCUUUGAAGUUAGGUGCAGGCAUGUGUGAUGGUUUAAAAAUAUCCAUAUGUUCUUUGAUACUCUUCCCUUCAGGAGGUGGGGCUUAGGUUUGCCUAUACGGUAUGUGCUGGAGUUAAUGACUCACUUAGAAUACGUAGAAUAUUCUGGAAGUGAUGUUAUAUGACUCCUGAGACGAGGUCAUAAAAGGUUUUCAGGCUUCCUUCUUGGGUUCUGUCUUGACUUGCUCAUUCCACGGGAAGCCAGCUGCCAUGUCAUGAGAACACUCAAGCAGCACUUUAGAGAGGCCCAUGUGGCAAGGAAUGGUGGCCUGCUGCCAACAACUAGUGUUAAAUUGCCAGGCAUGUUAGUGAGUCACCUUAGGUCCCCCAGCUCCUGUCAACCCUCCAAAUACCUGCGGCCCUGGUAUCUUGACUGCAGCCUCGUGAGAGACCCUAGGCCAGAAACACCCAGCUAAGCUGCUCCCAGAUUCCUGAAUCCCGCAACUGUGUGAGAUCAUAAAUAUUUAUUGUUUUCCAUUAAGUUUUGGGGUUAUCUGUCAUAUAGCAACACAUAACUAAUACCUUAUGACUUGCUUUGGCCUGUGACGAUGGACAGAAGAAGUAUUUCCAGGGAGAAGCCUUAAGGACAAGAGAACCUAUGCCAGCUUGGAGUUCUCAAACCUCUCAUUAGAGCCUUGUUAUUCUAGUGAGGUCAGCCCUACCAAGUGUCCACCAUCGAGGCAUCCCUUCCUUGGAACUUCAGCUCCCAGUGAUGCUGAUGUGCAGCCAGAUUUGGGAACCACUCCUCUAGAGUGUUCUAGAUGGCAAGCAGGCCUAAUCUAUCAGAGAGCAAAGAGGAGAUGGAAGCUGGUUUGGAAAUGGCAUCUGUUGAAACGAAUGUCAGCCUGCAAGGAAUUAUACUGCCUGAAGAGGAAUUUAAAUGUCCUGAGCCUGUGCAAGUAUCCGAAGUGACGGAAUGCGAAAGAAAUGGAACCCAUCAGUUUUAGCUGAGUACCAGACUUCCCAGCCAACAGUGGCAUUUUCCAGGUUCCCGUGCAGUCAUCCUGGGAAGGUUUAUGCUUGGGCCAGAAGUGCCCCACUAUCUAGGUUGGUGCUGAGGCUGCCUUUGAGAACCGCCUCUGCUUUGAAAUCUCUACUUAUGCCAAGUCUUCAUCUUUUGGAAACAACUAGCAGUUACCAAAGAUGGUGGAUAAGCAACUGCCUCCAAAUUUAUGUUUCUGACAUUGGAGAUGGAUACUGCUUCUGAGUUCAGAGAGGAUUUGAGCAGACUCUCGGAAAAUUGAACCCUGCCAACAAUUGGAACAGUUUGCUAACAGUUUGGAAGAGGAUCACUUUCCAAUCAGGCCUUCAGAUGAGCCCACAGCCUUGGCUAACACCUUAUUGCAGACUUGUAAGAUAUCCUAAAACUCUUCGUGACCCACAGGAAGAGUGAGAUGUUAAACAGGAAUUGUUUUCAGCCACUAAAUUUUGGGGUAAUUGUUCCACAGCUAUAGAUAACUUAUU